CAGCCGCCACGGGAAUACGUAGGUGGCAAGCGUUGUUCGGAAUUAUUGGGCGUAAAGGGUGCGUAGGCGGUUUGAUAAGUUUGAUGUGAAAUCUCUGGGCUCAACCCAGAGUCUGCAUCGAAAACUGUCGGGCUUGAGUAUGGGAGAGGUGAGUGGAAUUUCCGGUGUAGCGGUGAAAUGCGUAGAUAUCGGAAGGAACACCUGUGGCGAAAGCGGCUCACUGGACCAUUACUGACGCUGAUGCACGAAAGCUAGGGGAGCAAACAGGAUUAGAUACCCCCGGUAGUCCCUGUCUCUUAUU
rnacentral:rRNA from 1 species